rnacentral:rRNA from 1 species
UACGGAGGGGGCUAGCGUUGUUCGGAAUUACUGGGCGUAAAGCGCACGUAGGCGGCUUUGUAAGUUAGAGGUGAAAGCCCAGGGCUUAACCUGGGAAUUGCAUCCGAGACUGCGAAGCUAGGGUGCGGAAGAGGGAAGCGGAAUUUCUGGUGUAGCGGUGAAAUGCGUAGAUAUCAGAAGGAACAUCAGUGGCGAAAGCGGCUUCCUGGUCCAGCGCCGACGUUCAGGCACGAAAGCGUGGGGGGCAAACAGG